UAGGGAAUCUUCGGCAAUGGACGAAAGUCUGACCGAGCAACGCCGCGGGAGUGAAGAAGGUUUUCGGAUCGUAAAACUCUGUUGUUAGAGAAGAACAAGGACGUUAGUAACUGAACGUCACCUGACGGUAUCUAACCAGAAAGCCACGGCCAACUACGUGCCAGCAGCCGCGGUAAUACGUAGGUGGCAAGCGUUGUCCGGAUUUAUUGGGCGUAAAGCGAGCGCAGGCGGUUUCUUAAGUCUGAUGUGAAAGCCCCCGGCUCAACCGGGGAGGGUCAUUGGAAACUGGGAGACUUGAGUGCAGAAGAGGAGAGUGGAAUUCCAUGUGUAGCAGUGAGAUGCGUAGAUAUAUAGAGGAACACCAGUGGCGAAGGCGGCGCUCUGGUCUGUAACUGACGCUGAGGCUCGAAAGCGUGGGGAGCAAACAGG
rnacentral:rRNA from 1 species